UAGAUUGUAGUGUAGCUGGGAGCACAAAGAGUUUUGAUCUCUUCAGGUCGGGUUCAAACCCCCACUUUCUAA
rnacentral:tRNA from 1 species